UUGAGGACUGAUGGUCACUGAAUAUCUCAAGUAUAUUCACAUCUCUGGGAAUACUUUAGUAUGACUUUUUGGGGUGGGUGUCAUUCAUUAUUGUUUUAGUGUUUUUUCUCUUUACAAUUUUUAGAAAUAUUAUAAAGUCGUUUUUGAGUAUCUGCUUUGGGAUUUAAUGAAGCUGAAAUAUAGGUUAUUUUAUUUGCAUAUUCAACAAAAAAAUCGCAAUUUGUGAUUCUUAAACGGUAUUUAGAAAUAUAUAUAUACAUUGAACAGGUGGUAAUGAUUACUUAAGAGUGUGUUUUUAACAGAAGUUUUCACCCUUCUUUUAGUUGCAGGGGUUUUAGAGGUUGCGACCCAAAUGCCUGUAACUCAGAACAGCAGAGGUUUCUCAGUAUUGUGGUUAACUAUUCAAAUAUCCAGGAAGUCUGCCAACGCAUACCUUGAAUGUGCUAAGAGAGUGAGCAAAGGCUGUGGAGCAGAUUCCUAUGCUAGUCAACUGGAAAAUGCACAGAAUUUAAUGAAUGGGGGAAGAUGUGGUGAGUUCAGCGGGAAAACUUUUCGUCUGCAGUCCUCUCCUUAUCCUACUUCUCUUUCUGUCCAAA